AUCCCUUUGUUUUCCCAGGUGGUGUGGAUGAUACUGGCUGCACUGUUGGAGCUUGGACUCGGAGAGGAACACGUGAGCACAAUCGUAUGUUGCAUCAGCAGUAGUCAGCAUUGUGGAGAAGUAGAGUGUAAACCUUUGGAGGAACCUGUCACGGAAAGAGCUCCUUCUGGAACUGUUCAGCACUCGCUGAAACACAGUGUACAACAUGGGACUUGACGACCAGAGCUGCUUUCGGCAAGAGGUGUUGUAGCUGGCCUAAGAGAGCAGAUGGAAGCGUCUGCCUCGAGGGCAGGUGAGGAGGCCGAGGUGUCUCGCACAGGCUGAGUGGGGCCAAGCUGCACACUGAAGAGCAGCACGAGAAGGGCGG